rnacentral:misc_RNA from 1 species
AAGUCGUAACAAGGUUUCCGUAGGUGAACCUGCGGAAGGAUCAUUAACAAAUUCUUAUCACAAGAUAAUACUAUGUGAAUCGAAAUAUAUAAUCAUCUCUAUAAAGCCUCUCAAACGAGGGGUGAGAUGGGAUAUAUUUUAUAAAAAUGUAUUACUAUUGUCUCAAUAUUAUUUAUAAUAUUAAAACUUUUAACAAUGGAUCUCUUGGCUCUU